rnacentral:rRNA from 1 species
GCGGUGCAUUAGCUAGUUGGUAAGGUAAAGGCUUACCAAGGCGAUGAUGCAUAGCCGAGUUGAGAGACUGAUCGGCCACAUUGGGACUGAGACACGGCCCAAACUCCUACGGGAGGCAGCAGUAGGGAAUUUCCUACAACUAGGACGCAAGUCUGAUGGAGCAACGCCGCGUGAGUGAAGAAGGUUUUCGGAUCGUAAAGACUCUGUUGUUGGUGAAGAAGGAUAGAGGUAGUAACUGGCCUUUAUUUGACGGUAAUCAACCAGAAAGUCACGGCUAACUACGUGCCAGCAGCCGCGGUAAAU